rnacentral:rRNA from 1 species
AGCAGCCGCGGUAAUUCCAGCUCCAAUAGCGUAUAUUAAAGUUGUUGCAGUUAAAAAGCUCGUAGUUGAAUUUCGAGAUCAAUUUGUUGGUCGUGCCUCGGUACGUACUGGCAAUUUUGAUUUCUCCCUUCUGAAGAACCAUGAUGUCAUUAAUUUGGUGUCAUGGGGAAUCAGGACCGUUACUUUGAAAAAUUAGAGUGUUUAAAGCAGGCUCGCGCUUGAAUACAUUAGCAUGGAAUAGUGAAACAGGACGUUUGAUUCUAUUUUGUUGGUUUCUAGGAUCGACGUAAUGAUUAAUAGGGAUAGUUGGGGGCAUUAGUAUUCAAUUGUCAGAGGUGAAAUUCUUGGAUUUAUUGGAGACUAACUACUGCGAAAGCAUUUGCCAAGGAUGUUUUCAUUAAUCAAGAACGAAAGUUAGGGGAUCGAAGACGAUCAGAUACCGUCGUAGUCUUAACCAUAAACUAUGCCGACUAGGGAUCGGAUGAUGUUAAUUUUUAAUGA